UGGGAUGUGGAUCAGUGGUACAGUGCUUGACUGGCAUGCAUGAGUCCAUGGGGUCAAUCCCCAACACCACAA
rnacentral:tRNA from 1 species